rnacentral:rRNA from 1 species
UACGUAGGGGGCAAGCGUUGUCCGGAAUCAUUGGGCGUAAAGAGCGUGUAGGCGGUCCGGUAAGUCGGCUGUGAAAGUCCAGGGCUCAACCCUGGGAUGCCGGUCGAUACUGCCGGACUAGAGUUCGGAAGAGGCGAGUGGAAUUGCGAGUGUAGAGGUGAAAUUCGUAGAUAUUCGCAAGAACACCAGUGGCGAAGGCGGCUCACUGGCCCGAUACUGACGCUGAGGCACGAAAGCGUGGGGAGCAAACAGG